rnacentral:rRNA from 1 species
UGUCUAUUGAUAAAUAAUAAUAGAUAAAUCCUGCCCAAUGAAAAUUUUAAAUGGCCGCGGUAUCCUAACCGUGCUAAGGUAGCAUAAUCACUUGUCUAUUAAUUGUAGACUAGAAUGAACGAACAAACGAAAUAAUAACUGUUUUCUACAUAUCCAAUAAAAACUAACCUAUAAGUGAAGAUGCUUAUAUUAAAAUAAAGGACAAGAAGACCCUAUAGAGCUUUUAACUAUAAUAUUACACUAUAAUAAAUAGUUUUGGUUGGGGCGACCAAGGACAAAUCAUCCUUAAUAUUAAAGAUUCAUUAAUCAUUCAAUAGAGCUUAAAUUUAAACUAUCAAAUCAAGUUACCUUAGGGAUAACAGGCUAAUCUCAUUUAAGAGUCCCUAUCGCAAAUGAGGAUUGGCACCUCGAUGUUGGCUUAGAUUAACUUUAUGAUGCAGCCAUCAAUAAAGUAGGGUUUGUUCAACCCAUUAAUAUCU